rnacentral:rRNA from 1 species
AUUGAACGCUGGCGGCAGGCCUAACACAUGCAAGUCGAGCGGAGCGGCGGACGGGUGAGUAAUGCAUAGGAAUCUGCCUGGUAUUGGUGGAUAACGUCCGUAAACGGGCGCUAAUACCGCAUACUAUCAGAUGAGACUAGGUCGGAUUAGCUAGUUGCGGGGGUAAAGGCCUACCAAUGCGACGAUCCGUAACUGGUCUGAGAGGAUGAGCAGUCACACGGGAACUGAGACACGGUCCAGACUCCUACGGGAGGCAGCAGUGGGGAAGAUUGGACAAUGGGCGAAAGCCUGAUGCAGCCAUGCCGCGUGUGUGAAGAAGGUCUUCGGAUUGUAAAGCACUUUAAGUUGGGAGGCGUUACCAACAGAAUAAGCACCGGCUAACUUCGUGCCAGCCGCCGCGGUAAUAC